UGCAUGAGACGCAAAAUAUUCUGGGCUUUUGCAGUUUGCAAACACAAAUUGAGACAGUAACAUAGGGGGUUGGCGUGCAUCUUUCAAUUGGUUUCCAACUUUGUUCAUUAUGUCAAAAGAGGAAGAAAAUAUCAAGUAUAUUCUUAUUCAAGGUUCUAGACUCCUAGUAAAUAAAAUAAACAUAUUCAUAAUCAUUUUAUUUUGUGCACUCAGCAUCCCCUAUAUAUUAAAAAAAAGUAUUACAACAUAUUUUUGUAGUCACAUGUCAUCACCACAAUCAUUCUUAG
rnacentral:lncRNA from 1 species